UAAUCAAGCAAUAUAAAUAGAAAACAACAGCAGGCGAAGUCUAUCUUUGGAGACAUUGUCGACUUUGGCGCGGGGGAACGUGAGCCACCUUCUCCAUCGUUUCGAAGAAGUGCCCCAUAUCGGCGUCGGCAUUAGGAAUAGGAAACAAAUCAAAGAGGCGUGAAGUCAAAGCUCUCGAGCGACCAUAUCCGUGCAACUAGUCCAGUUUUUAGGGAUCUGUAGAACCGUUCAAUAAUCCCGUUAGCUUCAGGGUGAUAUGAUGCGGGCGUCCUAUUCGCGAUUCCAAGUGCCCAGCAAACCACGUCUAAAUAUCACUAGUGAAUUUCGUCACCCGGUCUGGCACAAUGACAUCAGGUCAUCCAACCGUCCAAGACAGCUCCAACUACUUUACUAGAGAUGAUAUUUAGAAUUGGGAUCACUUCCGUCCACCUCGUAUACCGAUCCAUUAUAGUAAGGGCAUAGUGCUGUCCUUUGACAAGUGUGAAUGUGCCAAUUAUAUCAUUCUGAAUUAAAGUAAGUCUCACGGAUGGUGAAUCGAAAUUAGAAGUGGGCUUGGAUAUUCUAAAAGGCUUCUUUUGUUGAAAUGCAUUGUUCUGUAUUUAAAAAAAUACAAGAACGUAAUUUAGGCCAAGCGUAGAAUAGUGAUACACUUUUUAAAGUCUCUUUGAAUCCCGGAUGAAUGAAUAAUUUGUCGGCGAAGUUCUGGAGAUAACACUACAACACGAAAUAAGUCUUCGCUGUCAAUGCCUGCAUGGUCAUUGAGUCUUUGAUCGUCAAUGACAUUUUGAAGAAAAUUGGGACUUAAUUUGAUGCUGUUGCCAUUUCUCGAAAGAAUAUCAGUAGUGUGUUGUAAUUUUCCAGAAACUUGCUCAAUCCUGCAAUUAAACUCUGCUACAUAUGCAAAUGUACAGAAUUGACUUGGAGUACAGGAGAGAUUGCGGAUGUCUAUCCCUAACACUACAGGCUUAUGAUCUGUGAAUAUUCUCACAUUUUGUCCAUCCAAUACCCACAGAAAAUGUUUAAUGCUUUCCUUAAUACUAAGUAAUGUCAAAAGUUGAAUAUUUCUUUUGCGUUUCAGAUAAGACUUUAGACCAAAAUGAUAGUGGUUGUCAGCGCCCAUUCACUUUCUGUUCUGGAACGGCUUCCAUUCUAGUAUCUAACGCAUCUCUUGUAAGGGCUAAAGGCAACGAGUUAAAGUUGAUUACUUGAGGAUAAACUGUGUUUUAUAUCUUGAAAAGCUCCUUCACAUUCCAUUCCAUUUUAAUUAUAUUUUUUCUUUAAAAUUGGAUAUAACAGUGCUGUCCAUUUUGACAAACUUUUGAUGAAUUUUGAAUAGAAUUGAGACAUGCCUAAAAAUCUCUGUAAAUCAUCUUUCGAUUUUAGAGAUGAAAUUCAUGCAAUAGCUUCAACUUUCGAUUUAAGAGAUUUAAAACCCUCCGGUGAAAUAGAAUGUCCAAGAAACUCAACAGAGUCCCAAAAAAACUAGAAUUAUUUUUCAAGAGAAAGUACCUAGACGGAAGUUUUAAGCUGCAAAAAAACUGCGUUUAUGUUCAUCCCUUGUCCGAGAAGAAGUAAUCAAUAUAUCAUCAAGAUACACAAAGACAUUUUUAAUUACCCUUAAAAUAGAAUCGAUGAGUUGUUGGAAUGUCUUGUCAGGAAUAUUAAGCCACAACGGUAUUCUCAAGUACUCGUUCAACCCAAAUGGCAUAAUUAUAGCUGUUUUACUGAAGGAGUCUUCACUCAUGGGUAUUUGAUUGUAAGCUCUGUACAAGUCCAAUUUCCAAAACAAUUUAAUUCCUCUUAGAUUGGCUACGAAAUCCCUUAAGCAUUGAAGAGGAUAUCGAUCUAGAUCAGUCAUGAAUAUUUAAUUGACAAUAAUCACCACGUAUUCGCCAGCCUUCUUUGGCUUUAGGUACUACAUGAAUUGCUGAUGAAAAUUUUGAAGAAAAUGGACGAACUAUUCGCUUCUCCAGAAGUCCAUCAUUUUAUCUUUAACAAAUUUGAGUUUCACACCAUCCAGCUUGCGAGAUUUUGUUAAGUAAGGAGGGCCCUUAGUUUCAAUGUGAUGUUCAAUUCCAUGAGCUGUGUAAGAUUCAAUAAAUUUUGUAUCAUCAAAAACUUCAAGGUAUUGAGAUUGAACCCAUUUGGCUUUUGAUAAUUAUAAAAUAACGCAUGGUUCAUUAAAACACAUUUGUUAUUGAAUAGGUCAAUAUCAAUUUUCUAGAAAUCAAGAAAAUAUGCCCCUGAAAUAGGGUGGCCUCUGGAUACGACGAUAAAGUUUCAUUAGAAAGUUCCAGGAUUUUCUAUCUGUACCCUUAAAGUUUUAGUAUCAAGAACUUCCACUAGAGUUCCUCCAUAACCAAAGAUAGGUGACAUUCUCACACCAAUUAAAUCUUUACAGUUCGUCGGUGAUAAAACGAAUACCUGGGCGGCACUAGUAUCUACAAGAAAAAAAAAUUAAAUUUCUAUUAUCUUUAUUUAAUAAGAAAUUUGAAGGUUUGUUUAAUGUCUCGGUACCAUGCAACUGAGGACAAUAUAUGUAGGUAUUUUGAAUAAAUGAAUUAAAAUGACAAUCAAUACCAGAGCACAGAGUUGCAUUUAAUUCAAAUUUUGAAUGAUAAUAACAUACUUUUUUGAAUUUGGCAGAUGUUGAGGACUCGGAAAAAACUUCACUAGGUCUCUUCUUAAUCAAAAGUGCCACAGUGGGUGAAGAAGAUGGAUCCUCGACAGUAGCAAUGGAAGUGUUUGUGACUUCUUUCACAGCCGUACACGUGUCUGCUAAAUUCUUAGUCGUAAGUGUUGAUUACGCUCUCAAAUAUCCCUGUUGCACCAAAUUCAGUAGUCAAGAGGGCUGCAGUCUCUUGAGAAGGAAAUCACAUUAAACAGGGUCAAAAAUUUGCCAAGUUGCCAUCAUAUCAUUUUUGAUGAUAUUUUUUUUUGCAUUUUUUCCUCUAAAGGGUAUUUCAUGUUUCAGCUGGUUAAACUAGGUAACAAGACCUUUGGAGUAAGAGAUGAUGCCAUUCCUGUGUCAAGAAGCCCUGACAAACGAUUUUUUCCCCUAUGUCUCAGGAGUCCAUGAUCUGAUGAAGAUCCUUGCUUAAGGAUUUUUUUAAAUUACUUUACUAAUUGAUAUUUUUGGAAAAAAAUCUAAUUAUUUGUUAAGUUAAUGAAACCUCUCAAAAUCUUUGUUCAGUAUUUGUUGGGACACGCUGUAUACGGAAGAUGUAUUUUGAAUCAAUAAAUAAAUUUGAGUUAUUAAUGGCAUCAUUAAUGGUUCACAUACUAGUUUCUACAAAAAUAUGUGUCACAAAAGCAGGCUAAUAUAAUUUUUUUUAAAUUGUGUCCAGACUGCAUUUGUAUAAUUUUACAAAUUAUUAUAAGUUAUCUUUUGAAUACGCUCCAGAUUUGACUUAAACUAACAAAAAUACAUCGUCACAGUGAAAAAACUGAAAGUAAUGUUUAGUUUAAAAUAAUUUAUCAGAGCCAAACUUAGU
rnacentral:lncRNA from 1 species